GGUAUGUUACAUAAUAAAUAUAUAAUAAUUAAUAUACUAUAUAUGUUAUUAUUAUAAUUUUUAUAUAUAUAGAUUAAAUAUAUUUAAAAUUAUAAUAAACAUAUAUUAAUAAUAUAUAAGAGUUAUAUAUUUAAAAAUAUUAAUAAACUCAGAUCUGUGCAGAUCUAAAGACUAAUUUAUUCCAAUUAAUCUCAGAUAAUUAACUCUUCCAUCCUAAUUAACUCUCCCAAUUAACUCUCCCAAUUGACUUCUCUGGUUAAUUGUCAAUUAACCCUCGUACAGCACCCCUCCUCGUCCCCUUCCUCCGGCACCGGCAGCACCCUCCUCAACCACCGUUGCCACUCCAAACCCCGAG
rnacentral:lncRNA from 1 species